rnacentral:rRNA from 1 species
UACGUAGGGUGCGAGCGUUAAUCGGAAUUAUUGGGCGUAAAGAGCUCGUAGGCGGUCUGUCGCGUCUGCUGUGAAAACCCGAGGCUCAACCUCGGGCCUGCAGUGGGUACGGGCAGACUAGAGUGCGGUAGGGGAGAAUGGAACUCCUGGUGUAGCGGUGGAAUGCGCAGAUAUCAGGAAGAACACCGAUGGCGAAGGCAGUUCUCUGGGCCGUAACUGACGCUGAGGAGCGAAAGCGUGGGGAGCGAACAGG